CGCAACUUGCGCUUUCUGGUAUUCCGGAAAGCAUGCCUGUUUGAGUGUCAUGAAAUCUCAACCAUUAGGGUUUCUUAAUGGCUUGGAUUUGGAGGUUGCCAGUCUAACUGGCUCCUCUUAAAAGAGUUAGCAAGUUGAACUAUUGCUAUCUGGCGUAAUAAGUUUCGCUGGAAUGGCAUUGUGAAGCGUGCUUCUAAUCGUCUUCGGACAAUUUUUUGACUCUGGCCUCAAAUCAGGUAGGACUACCCGCUGAACUUAA
rnacentral:misc_RNA from 1 species